UACGGAGGGUGCAAGCGUUAUUCGGAUUUACUGGGCGUAAAGGGCGCGUAGGCGGUCGUAUAAGUCAGAUGUGAAAGCCCGGGGCUCAACCCCGGAAGUGCAUUUGAUACUGUACGACUUGAGUAUGGGAGAGGGAAGUGGAAUUCCUGGUGUAGAGGUGAAAUUCGUAGAUAUCAGGAGGAACACCGGUGGCGAAGGCGACUUCCUGGACCAAUACUGACGCUGAGGCGCGAAGGCGUGGGUAGCUAACAGG
rnacentral:rRNA from 1 species